rnacentral:rRNA from 1 species
UACGUAGGGUGCAGGCGUUAAUCGGAAUUACUGGGCGUAAAGCGUGCGCAGGCGGUCUGUUAAGAGAGAUGUGAAAUCCCGCGGCUCAACCGUGGAACUGCCUUAGAUACUGACGGCCUCGAGGAAGGUAGGGGCAUGCGGAACUGUAGGUGGAGCGGUGAAAUGCGUUGAUAUCUACAGGAACUCCGGUGGCGAAAGCGGCGUGCUGGACCUUUUCUGACGCUGAGGCGCGAAAGCUAGGGGAGCAAACGGG